CUUUCUAGUCGCAGCGCCGGCCGCACCGCCGCGUUGCUGGGAGCCCGGACCCGAGCCGCUCGGGAGGGAGCGCGGCGGGGGCAGGAGGAAGCCGCGCUGCCCAGGCCGGGCCGGGCCCCAUCUCCCGUCUCCGUGACAGGAAUACAGGGCAUUGGCAGGCGGAGACGUACCCUGUGGCUUGGGCUUUCUCUGCAAGGCCAGUGGGGAUGAAACCAAGUAACAAAGACCCUGACUUUGCUUAAUGACCAAGACUCAGUUAGAUAACGAACCGGCGCUGCUGUUGGCAGAGAGCCUUCUAGAUGCUCGCUGCAGUGUGGCCUGUGAAAGUGGGAAGGCGGAUUGGAAGGAAAGAGCUGCUUGAGUCAUAUUUCCUUACAGCCAAAGGAGAGGAUCUGUUGGUUUGGGCUGAUCAUUAUUUGUUAGUGUUUAUUAAUCGUGAUUUACUGAGAACUUUUAUGUUCCAGAUAUCACAUACUUUAUAUUCACUCACUACAAUCCUGCACAGUUUUGUUGCUGAUUUUCUUUCUUUAAUAAAAGAGAAAAUUGAGUUUCAGAGAUGUUAAGUAAUUUGUCCAACGCUGUUACACAGCUUUUAAAUGGCAUACCUGAAAGCCAAUCUUGUUAUGGCUAUAACUUUUACUCUUUCUAUGAGGAACAUAUAGCUUAUGCCUUAUAAAUUUCAAAUUGAAGGUGCCAGGUGGCUGUGGCUUAGAAUAGGUGAGUUGGCCGUGGAAAAACAAAGUAAAUUAAUAAUUCACAUGUACUAUAAUAUCUGCUCUAACUGCACUUUUCACUGCAGAGAACGUCAGGAAAAAUUCAGUUAAGGUAAAAUCAUUAGGCAGAGUUGAAAAAGCCUCCCUUUCCAACAUAUAAAGAAUAAGAAAAAACCCUAGCCUGGUCAUGGUGAGCCUGUACAAAAAUGUGUAAUGCCAUCAGGCCAUUGUCAUUCCUGCUUUAAAUAAUUGCUUAUUCAUUAAAAAAAUUGUUUUAGGCCGGGGGUGGUGGCUCACGCCUGUAAUCCUAGCACUUUGGGAGGCCCAGGUGGGUAGAUCACCUGAGGUUUGAAAGCAGCCUGGCCAACAUGGCAAAACCUCGUCUCUACUAAAAAUACAAAAAUUAGCCAGGAGUGGUGGCAGGCGCCUGUAAUCCCAGUUAUUCCGGAGGCUGAGGCAAGAGAAUGGCUUGAACCCAGGUCGCAGGGGACAGGGUGGAUGUUGCAGGGAGCCGAGAUCAUGCCACUUUAGCCUUGGUGAAAAGGUGAAACAGAACAGCUUGAGAUUUAAAGAACAAUUGAGGAUGCUAUAGGGUUCCCAUGAACCCUCCAAUCAGUUUCACCUAUUAUUAACAUCUGACUUUAAUGAUGAAAUAUUUUAUAAUUACUGAAGCAAUAUUGACCUAUUAUUACUAAAGAUCAUGAUUGAUUCAGAUUUCCUUAGUUCUUACCCAAUUCCUUUGUCCACUCCAGGAUCGCAUCCAGGAUCCACAUUAUAUUUAGUUGUCACGUCACUUUAGGCUCUACUUGGCUGGGAGAGUUUUUCAGACUUUUGUUAGUCUUGAUUACAUUGACAGUUUUGAGGACUACUGAUUAUUAAUUUUGAAAGAGGUAAGUAGGUGCUCCUGUAUUGAGAUUUGUCUGCUGUUUUUCUCAUGAUUAGACUGGGAUAAAGGAUUUUAGAAGACCACAGAGGUAAAAUACCACUUUACGCAUCGGAUCAAGGGUUUAUACUACCAACAUGAUUUAUGACUGUUGGUGUUGAACCUGAUCACCUGACCAGGUAGUGCUUGUCAGAUUUCUCCAAUAUAAAGUUACUUUUGUUUUUUUUUUUUUUGCCCCUUUAUAUACUGUAUUCUUUGGAAUUCACUAUGUAUAUCUCACAUCUAAGAAGUAGGGCUCUCGUUAGCAACACUCUUGUUCAUUUCUCCCAAACUCUCAAAAUGAUCUAUUCUUAUUUAGCUUUAUUUGAUAUUAUUUAUGUUUUUCAAUCUCACCACCUCCACUUCUAUUCUCCAAAUUAUAACUGACAAAUCAUAGACCUUCAGAGCUCAGAGAGAAUGUAUGGCACCUUGUUCUUUUGGGGUUCAAUUGCCAAAGCCGGAAGACACAGAAACACAUGUACUGAAAGAAUGUUCUAUUUAAUAUUUCCCCAAAGCAAGGACACAGUCAUCAUGGGACAAAUCAAAUUGUUGGAUAUCCUGACCCUUAUUUUAGGGUCUAGUUUUAUUUUUAUUUUGAAUUAUAUAGAAGGUAUAUAAUCAUUUUAGUAUCAAAGUUCUAAGGACCCCUCAUAUUUUGUAGAAAAAUUAGAGAGGGAAAGUGAGUUGUCCCAGGCCACAGAGCUGUAUUCCAAGGAUACAUAGUCUGCUCGCUUCAAAGAGGAACAGGCACAGAUUUCCCUACAACCCUAACACAGAACGUAGCUGAUUCUUUGGUGAUGACGAGGAGGAAGACAAAGAUGAUGAGUAGGGGUAGAAGUUUAAUGUGGAGAUAGUAUCAUUUCUUCAGUGUUUUAUACACAUGUGUUUGUCUGAUUUCUACAUCAUUUAUAGGAGAGAAGAAAAACAAACAAAUGUAAAAUAAUCUCUUAGACGUAAGCACAAUUGUUAUCUUCCUAAACAUUUCAAAUUGUAAUCACUUCUGUCUAUGGGCUAAUGAGGACAUUUUUCUUCAUACUCUUCUAUUUUGUUUGAAUGUUUUAAAGUACACUUUUGUAAAUUUAAACAUUUUGUCACUUAAUGAAAAACUAUGGUAGAAAUAUAACCAAAAAUUGUCUGGUGGUCAAUUUAUUUUAGUGGAAAGAAAACUGAAGAAAGUUAGCAGUGUGUCAUUGACCUUGAAUUGAUAUUUAACUAACAAUCUGAGUGCCAACCCCAGACAGCUUAGGCAUAUCUUGCCUGUAGAUCACAUCUAGCUAAAUUUUUUUGUGAGUGGGAAAAUUCAGAAAGUGGAGUUCAGUUUUUUGUUUUUCCCCAGAAGAAUCUGCUCCCAAAUCAACAUAUUGUAAAGGAGCUGGUAGGAAGGAUGGAUUAGGCUAAAUUCACCCUGGGGGAAAACAGAAAAGAUAUUUCUCAAUGGAAAAUACACUGAGGCUUUUUUUAAAGGAAGUUUUAAACAGAUAUGUUUGUUUGAUUAAUUUAAUCCAAUAUGCAGCAGAGGACAACACAUAGUUGUUUUCUGGUGGUGAAUGGGAUGGGCAAAGGACUCAUAUUCAUAAAGCUAUAAUUGGCACACACUGCAGUUAUAAGGAGAGGAGAGGAAAAGGCAAUGAUGUAGCCUAAUGUGUCCAAGCUUCUCAAGAGUGAGAAUCCCUUUAGAAAGUCAAAAUUGGGCCUGGUGCAGUGGCUCAUGCCUGUAAUCCCAGCAUUUUGGGAGGCUGAGGUGGGUGGAUCACCUGAGGUCAGGAGUUCGAGACCAGCCUGACCAACAUGGUGAAACUCCAACUCUACUAAAAAUACAAAAAAUUAGCCAGGCAUGGUGGUAUGCACCUUUAGUCCUAGCUACUCAGGAGGCUGAGGCAGGAGAAUCGCUUGAACCCGGGAGGUGGAAGUUGCAGUGAGCUAAGAUGGUGCCACUGUACUCCAGUCUGGGCCAUAGAGUUAGACUCUAUCUCAAAAAAAAAAAAAAAAAAAAUGGACAGAAAGUCAAAAUUAUGUUUUCUCUUCUAGGAGAGGAGUUGUUCUACCUGGACUCCCACUUCCUCCUUAGGUCUUCAGAGAAUGUGAGAAGGAAAUGCAGAGAAAACACCAUGUGGGCUGAUGGUGUUGACCUGGCUGGAGUUCUGGUGUUCUUCCAAAGUCCAAGAGACUCUUGGCUGUUAAUGCUUAACUCCUCUCAAGGUCACCAACUGGCUGCCAGCAGCUCCUGGAAGCAACUGUAUGCUUUAAAACUGACAACCAGCAAGGCGGAAAGAGCAUCAUUGCCACCAUUUUAAGCAAAAGCUCAGAAAGUCACUCUGAUUGAAGAGGUUUAGGUCAUAUGUCUAUCUUUGAAUCAAUCACUACAUUCAAGGAGAUGCUGAUUGGCCUAGCCAAGGUCAUAUGCUUCAUCUUUGAGGGGAAGGAGAUGGUAUUUUUUUUUGGAUUCCCGAACAGAAACCAGGUAUUCUUAAGAAGGGGGAAGGUAAUAAACACAUGUCUGAUGGACACCUGAAGAACUUUGAGCAUGGUUCUGAGCUCACUGGAACUAAGUCACAUGAAUAGUCUUGCUCCAAAGGCUGGGCCUCAAAAUCUUGCAGCUGUUUGCAGAGCUGUUCCACCUUAUAUCUGUACCUAAGGAUUUGUGUUUCAAGGCCUCCUUUUAAUCUGUAGGUGUUUCGGUUUUCUAGCAUUACCUAACAAACCACCUCAAUCUUAGUGGCUUAAAAUAACCACCAUUUUAUUAUUUCACAGAAUUUCACAUUGACUGGGUGCAGCUGGUCAGUAUCACUGCUACUCCACAUGUUGGCUGGGGGUUCAGUCACCGGGGGGCUUGACUGGUCUGGAAUGCCCAAGCUUGGCUGAAGACAUCUGCUAUGGCUGGCUCUGUACGUCAACCUGGCUAGGCUGUAUUACCCAGUUAUUCAGUCAGACGCUAAUUGGAAUGUUGCUAUGAAGAUAUUUCAUAGAUGUAGUUGAUAUCUGUUGUCAGCUGAUUUUAUGUAAAGGGGGUUACUUUUGAUAAUGGAAUGAGCUUUAUACAAUCUGUUGAAAAUUCUUAAGGGCAAAAGUCAAGAUUUUUCUGGAGAUGAAAUCUGCCUCAAGGCUGCCGAGUUAACUUCCGACUGAGUUUCUAGACUGCCUGUGGGCUCUACACUUCCAGACUUCAGAUUUGCUGGUCUCUACAAUGCAAUUAUUCAGUUUCUUAAAAUCAUCUCUAUCUGUCCAUCUGUCUGUCUCCUACUGGUUCUAUUUCUCUGAAGAAUCCUGACUGAGACAACAUCUGAUCAGGGAUGACUCAGCUGGGGCAAGGUGAGCAAAGUGGGUAGGAUGAGUGAAAGAAAACAGUGGCAGAGGUUAAUAGGAGUCAGUCAUCAAAAACCAGCUAGAUAUUUCCUGUGUGUGUGUGUGUGUGUGUGUGUGUGUGUGAGAAAACGUUUUAUAAAAUUCAAAUUUUAUUUUUGUAAAACCUCUGAUGCAGAGAGAGUAAGAAUAAGGUAGACAGGAGGUUCAUGAUUACAUGACUAUCAUAAAUCAGUUAGAUAUUGGCUGGGCAUGGUGGCUCAUGCCUGUAAUCCUAACACUUUGGGAGGCUGAGUAGGGUAGAUAGCUUGUGCCCAGGAGUUUGAGACCAGUCUGGCCAACAUGGCAAAACCGUGUCUCUAAAUAAAUAAGUAACAUUUAAAAAAUUAAUUAGAUAUGGAAUCAAUACAAAUAUUUCUUGAACACUGCGUAGGAGUCCAUGACUACAGUUGGUAUGUUAGGGGUUGGUGAAGGAAGUCCCCAGAGGUGGCCUGCUCCACGUGCCCAAGGGCCUCAGCCGUACUGGCGGAGAUAAAAGCCGACACAUGGAAGUGAAGUACAACGGCCUGCCCUUUCCUUCCUGUUCUGCUCCUACUCAUUCUUCCCAAUCAGCUCAACUCUACCUCUUCUCUUACCCUGACUCUAUCCUGUCACCAGACAGAGUUACAUUUACCCUUCUCUGCAUUCCCCCAGCUCUUUGUAGCUGCCCUCACUAUAUAAUUACUCUUUGUUAUGUGCUGUAGGCUUUGGGCAGAAUUCUAAAAUGACCUCCAGUGAUUCCCUAAAUCUUCUCCCAAUACAGGGCCAGUGAGGUAUUGCUCCCAUGAUUAUGUUAUAUUAUAUGACAAAGGGAUUUUGCAGAUGUAAUUAACAUGCCAAAUCUCACCUUAAGUUAGUGAGAUUACCCUUGGUGAGACUGACAUAAUCAGGUCAGGUUUAAGAGACAAGGCUCUUCAAAAGAGAUUUGAAGUCUGAGAGGGCUCCGAUACAAGAACGGUAAGCCAUUGCUUGCGUGGAGAUGGAGGGGGCCAUGUGGCAAGGAAGGCAGGCAGCAUCCAGGAUCCGAGAGCAGCCUCUGGCUGACAGCCAGCAAGGAGCUUCAGUUCCACAGUCUCAGGGAACUGAGUUCUGCCACAAGCACAGGAACUUGGAAUGGAAUCCCAGCUCCAGAUGAGAAUGCAGCCUGCCUGACACACCUCAGUUUUAGUCCUGUGAGAACCUGAAUGAGAGCCCAUUUGUGCUGUACACAGACUUUCUCAUCCACAGAACUGUGAGCUAAAAACAAGUGUGGGUUUAAGCUGCUAAAUUUUUGGCAAUUUGCAUCACAGCAGUAGAAACAAAUAGAGUUAUGUGUUGCUUAAGGAGGAUCUAUUCUGAGAAAUGUAUCAUUAGGUGAUUUUGUCCUGUGAACAUCAUAGAGUGUACUAAUGUAAACCUAAAUAGUAGAGCAUACUACACACCUAGGCUAUAAGGUAUAGCCCAUUGCUUCUAGGCUACAAACCUCUACAGCAUGUUACUGUAGGUAAUUAUAACAUAAUGGUCAGUAUUUUAUGUAUCCAGAUAUUAAAAAGGUACAGUGAAAACACAGCAUAAAAGAUUUUAAAAAUAGGCCGGGCUUGGUGACUCAUACCUAUAAUCCCAGCACUUUGGGAGGCUGAGGCAGGUGGAUCACUUGAAGACAGGAGUUUGAGACCAGGCCGUCCAACAUGGUGAAACUCUGUCUCUACUAAAAAUACAAAAAUCAGCUAGGCGUGGUGGCAGGCACCUGUAGUCGCAGCUACUCGGGAGGCUGAGGCAGGAGAAUCACUUGAACCUGGGAGGUGGGUGAGCUGAGAUAGCGCCACUGCACUCCCAGUUUGGGAACAGAGCAAGAGUCUGUCUCAAAAAACAAAAAGCAAAAACAGUACACCCUGUAUAAGAUACUUACCAUGAAGGGGAUUGCAGGACUGGAAGGUGCUCUGGGGGAGUGAGUGAGUGGUGGUCAGUGGAUGUGAAGGCCAAGGACAUUACUGUACACUCCUGUAGCCUUUAUAAACACCUAGACUACAUUAAGUUUAUAAAAAAAAUUUAGUUCUUCAAAAAUAAAUUAACUUUAGCUUGCUAUAACACUUAUGUUAUGAAUUUAAUUUUUUUAACACUUUGACUGGAGUCAUAUUAUGCAUUGUACUGCAAUGUUACAGUGGGUAUGAUAUUGCUAGGCAAUAGACAUUUUCAGGUCCAUUAUAAUCUUAUAAUGCCUAUGUCCUAUAUGCAGUCUAUCAUUGACCAAAGUGUUAUUUUGUGGUGCAUUACUGGACAUUGUGUAUUUGCUUCUCCACUCAGUUGUGAUCUGGAAGCAGGAUCCGUGUCUAUUUUAUCUAUAUAAGCCUCUCUGAGCAAAGUGCCUGGCUUAGAGCAAUGCUCUGAUAAAUGUUUGUUGAAUAAAUUAAUAAAUGAAUAAGUCCUGCAUUUGCAGUACUGUGUAGGCAAUUGAGACAAGGUUCAAACAUCCUCAAUUUAUUUCAGAAAAUUUCAGAAAGUGUUCGUCCAGUGGCCAGCACCAUGCCAAUGUCAAGUCAGUCCAAGAUAAUGUCUCUGGUGUUCUUGGUCUCCCUGUGUUCCUUAUCAUAAUAUAUAGGUAUUGGGGUUUCAAAUGUUACUGACUCAGACAUCAUUAAUCACAGUUAUCAUGGUAUUAGAGAUAAGAGCUGGUGGAAAAAUGAAAAUAAGAGAUAAGGAAAGUUUCAAAACUUACUGCUAUGGUCUGAAUGUUUGUGAGUCCCCCCUGCCACCACCUCCCAAUUCUUUUUUUUUUUUUAAUUGCAAGCCCACAACGGACAUCAUACACCUCCCGAUUCUUAUGUUAAAGUUUUUAUCCCCCAAGGUGAUGAUAUUAGGAGAUGGAGCUUCUGGAGGUGAUUAGGUAAUGAACGUGGAUCCCUAAUAAAUAGGAUUAGUGCCCUUAUUAAAGAGGCCCUACUGGUUAUGGUGGCUCAGAGCCGCAAUCCCAGCACUUUGGGAGGGUGAGGUGGGAGGAUCACUAAAGGCCAGGAGUUCAGGACCAGCCUGUGCAACAUAGCAAGACCCUCCAACCCCAUCUCUACAAAAAAUGUUUUUGUAAUUAGCUGUGUGUGGUGGUGCGAGCCUGUAGUUCCAGCUACUUAGGCAGGAGGAUCACUUCAGCCCAGGUGUUCAAGUGAGCUAUGAUUGCACCACUGUACUCCAGCCUAGGUGAAAGAGUGAGACCCUGACUCUUAAAAAAAUAAAUAAGGGGCCCAAAAGUUACCCCUUGUCCUUCCACCAUGUGAGGACAUGGUGAGAAGGCAUUCUGUAUGCACCCAGGAAACACUGGUCUUAACCAGACACCAAAUCUGCUGCCUUUAUCUUGAACUUCCCAUUUUGCAGAAUUUUGAAAAAUAAAUUUUCCUUGUUUUUAAGCCACCCAAUCUAUGGUAUUUUGGUAUAGCAGCCUGAAUGAACUAAGACACUUAUUUGGAAGAAUAACUUUAUUAUGCCUCCCUUAUAGAACUUCUAAUUGAUGCUACUCAUGAUUACAACUUUGAGCAAUUUAUUUCAUCCUUUUGAGGGUCAGUUUCUUCACUAGUAAUGUAAAGAGGAGGAGACAUUGUGUCAUCCCAGCCCUAAUAUUCUGUAUAAUCUAUGAGUUCUUUUGGCCCAUGGAAGAAAAUAAUGCAGUUGAUUUGGUCAAUGUGUGGAUCAAUUUGGGUCUCUUCAUUUCCCUUUUUUUCCUUUCUCUCUCUCUCUCUCUCUUUCUUUCUCUUUCUUUCUUUCUUUCUUUCUUUCUUUCUUUCUUUCUUUCUUUCUUUCUUUCUUUCUUUCUUUCUUUCUUUUCUUUCAUAGUAUCUCACUCUGUCAUCCAGGCUGGAGUGCAAUGGUGCAGUCUUGGCUCACUGCAACCUCUGCCUCUCAGGUUCAAGUGAUUCUCCUGCCUCAGCCUUUCAAGUAGCUGGAUUAUAGGUAUGCACCACCAUGCCUGGCUAAUUUUGUAUUUUUUUUUAGUAGAGACAGGGUUUUACCAUGUUGGUCAGGCUGGUCUCGAACUCCUGACCUCAAGUGAUUCACCUGCCUCAGCCUCCCAAAGUGCUGGAAUUACAGGCCUGAGCCACCAUGCCUGGUCUCAGGAUCUCUUCAUUUCUUACGUCUGAAAGUCACAAUGUUGCCAUCUAAAUGUACAAAUAAGAGGAACAGAACUUAUUGACUCACUAUCUGAAGGUUUAGAUACCAUAUUGUGACUUGCAAGCUUAAGAAAUGAAGAGACCCCAAAUAAUCUCUCAUUGACAAAACUGACUGCAUUAUUUUCUCCCCACAGACCCAAAGAAGCAUCUCAGAAUCCUCAAGAAACAAGAAAACAUAUUCAUAUUUUCAAAAAUCUUCUAGUAUCUUAAAUCGAUAUUUAAAAACAGGGUAAGGAGCUUUUCUACUCUAAAAAGUUUCAGCAUUGUGAUACAACUGGAAGAGUCCCAGCCAAAAAGCCUUGACAUUUGACUAUCUGGGCAGCAAUAGAUCAUGCACUCAAAAUGAAAAGAGGAUGACAUGAUGCUUAAACUAUGCUUCAAAACCCACCCCCACAACAAAUGAAGCGGGGAGCAGAGGAGCUUGGAUGAUGUAAGAACAAGUAUCUCAAGGGCAUAUGAAGACAUUAAAAGUGAGCACUGGCCAGUAGCUUCCAGAUGGCUACCCUAUUUUAACUCUAGAAAGUGAAGGGCAUUGCCAACUAGUUUUGGUCCCCUCCAAUAUUCAGAAGAAGAUGAAGAUCCAGUGGUGACCCAAGCAGACAAAAUCCCUGCCCUGUGGAACUUAAAAUUUUGAGAAUACUAAAUAGGGAU